rnacentral:rRNA from 1 species
UCCAGGCCCUACGGGGCGCAGCAGGCGCGAAACCUCCGCAAUGCUCGAAAGAGCGACGGGGGGACCCCCAGUGCCGUGGCAACGCCACGGCUUUUCCGGAGUGUAAAGAGCUCCGGGAAUAAGGGCUGGGCAAGGCCGGUGGCAGCCGCCGCGGUAAUACCGGCGGCCCGAGUGGUGGCCGCUAUUAUUGGGCCUAAAGCGUCCGUAGCCGGGCUUGUGAGUCCCUGGCGAAAUCCCACGGCUCAACCGUGGGGCUUGCUGGGGAUACUGCAAGCCUUGGGACCGGGAGAGGCGGAGGGUACUCCUGGGGUAGGGGUGAAAUCCUAUAAUCCCAGGAGGACCGCCAGUGGCGAAGGCGCUCCGCUGGAACGGGUCCGACGGUGAGGGACGAAGGCCAGGGGAGCGAACCGGAUUAGAUACCCGGGUAGUCCUGGCUGUAAAGGACGCGGGCUAGGUGUCGGGCGAGCUUCGUGCUCGUCCGGUGCCGAAGGGAAGCCGUUAAGCCCGCCGCCUGGGGAGUACGGCCGCAAGGCUGCAACUUAAAGGAAUUGGCGGGGGAGCACUACAAGGGGUGGAGCGUGCGGUUUAAUUGGAUUCAACGCCGGGAACCUCACCGGGGGCGACGGCAGGAUGAAGGCCAGGCUGAAGGUCUUGCCGGACACGCCGAGAGGAGGUGCAUGGCCGCCGUCAGCUCGUACCGUGAGGCGUCCACUUAAGUGUGGUAACGAGCGAGACCCGCGCCCCCAGUUGCCAGUCCUUCCCGCUUGGGGAGGAGGCACUCUGGGGGGACCGCCGGCGAUAAGCCGGAGGAAGGAGCGGGCGACGGUAGGUCAGUAUGCCCCGAAACCCCCGGGCUACACGCGCGCUACAAUGAGCGGGACAAUGGGAACCGACCCCGGAAGGGGAAGGGAAUCCCCUAAACCUGCUCCCAGUUCGGAUCGCGGGCUGCAACUCGCCCGCGUGAAGCUGGAAUCCCUAGUACCCGCGUGUCAUCAUCGCGCGGCGAAUACGUCCCUGCUCCUUGCACACACCGCCCGUC